rnacentral:rRNA from 1 species
ACGUAGGGUGCGAGCGUUAAUCGGAAUUACUGGGCGUAAAGCGUGCGCAGGCGGUUUUAUAAGCCAGAUGUGAAAUCCCCGGGCUCAACCUGGGAACUGCAUUUGGAACUGUAAGACUAGAGUGUAGCAGAGGGGGGUAGAAUUCCACGUGUAGCAGUGAAAUGCGUAGAUAUGUGGAGGAAUACCAAUGGCGAAGGCAGCCCCCUGGGUUAACACUGACGCUCAUGCACGAAAGCGUGGGGAGCAAACAGGAUUAGAUACCCUGGUAGUCCACGCCCUAAACGAUGCCAACUAGUUGUUGGGGGAGGAGACUUCCUUAGUAACGCAGCUAACGCGUGAAGUUGACCGCCUGGGGAGUACGGUCGCAAGAUUA